rnacentral:rRNA from 1 species
UACGAAGGGUACAAGCGUUGUUCGGAAUUACUGGGCGUAAAGCGCGCGUAGGCGGAUGAGUAAGUCGAUUGUGAAAGCCCUGGGCUUAACCUGGGAACUGCAGUCGAAACUGCUUAUCUUGAGUGCCUGAGAGGAUGGCGGAAUUCCCGGUGUAGUAGUGAAAUACGUAGAUAUCGGGAAGAACACCUGAGGCGAAGGCGGCUAUCUGGCGGUGCACUGACGCUGAGGAGCGAAAGCGUGGGGAGCGAACAGG